UAAUUUCGCAGGCUAUAUUUUGUUACUGGAUUACAUCAAAUUUGUUUUCACUUGGAUACGGACUCGCGCUUAAAGUUCCUGGCGUUAAGGAAGCGUUGCGCAUUCCAAAAAUGCCUGCUGCUGCACCUACCAACGCACCACAAUCUCCCUUCUCUUUUUUUCCGACAGCAAAGAAAGAUUCCGAAGCAGCCAAUGAAUCAAACCCGUCUCCAGUUGAACAAUCGAAACUUCCAGGUCAGAAGAUAUCUUCUUCAUCUAUUCUUAGUCAGAGGAUCAGAAGCUUAGAGAAACAAGUGAAAGGAAGAAAGAAGAACAAGAAGCACUGAACAAGGCUCUCACCUUCUUGGACCAUGCCAUCUGAAUGUGGCUAUGAUUUGAUUUGUUACUGCUUAUUAUCCUCUGAAGCAGGAGCUAGGAGUUUGUCACAUAUUAGUUGGAUUAAGAGAGGCUAGGCAAUAAAUCUUAUUAAUUUAUAAUUAUUUGCGGUGGCCUGAGGGAAAUUUUUGUUGUACUGUAUACUAAAGAUGAAAGUUUUGGCUUCUAGAUUUUUUUUUUUUUGGUGAAUAGGUUGCAAUUAAAGGGGCAACCUUCACGGUUCACAUACAUAUUUUUGCCAA